GCCUGGCGGCGGUCCCGCCCAGGAACAGGCCGGGCCCCGGUGCCGUGUCCACGGGUCCGUUCUUGCUGCUGGUUCGGGAUUAGCCACUCGGUCCCAGAAUGGCUUGGAUUGGACGGUACCCUAAAGAUCAUCCAGUUUGAACCCCCUGCGGAGGGCAGGGUCACUUUUCACUAGAGCAGGUUGGCCAGAGCCCAAUCCAGCGUGGCCUUGAACGCUCCCUGGGAUGGAACAUCCACAGUUUCUCUGUGCAGCCUGUGCCAGUGCCUCGCCACCCUCACAGUACUGGAAGGCUGCAGUGAGGUCUCUCCAGAGCCUUCUCUUCUCCAGGCUGAACAACCCCAGCUCUACCAGCCUGCCAAGAAGCUUAUGUAAAGGAUCUGUUCCAGACUGCCCAGAGAGGAUGGGCUGGAGUCCUUGAGUUUGGCUGAAACUGGAAGCAGCAAAAUGACCAUCUUGGAAAGAGGAGGUGGAGUUUCUUACAGAGAAAUUGUGUAUCAUAUACUGGAAAAAUGAAACAAAAGCUGGAAUUGGUGUCACUGUCACAUCAUCUACCUCAGCCUUGUCAUGGUGCUGCCACUGCCGGUAAGAGGCCACAAGCUCUGCCUUAUGUGAGGCUCUGUCAGGCUUUGCCUGGGCUUGUCUUGGCCUGCCAGGAGCUGCUGUAGCUCGUUUUGCUCUUACAACAGUUGUCUAAUGACCAGGUGACUGCUCCCAACAUUGCCUUGGGUUUGUGCAAUUAUCUGGUGUUUGGGCUACCCAGUACAAGAGACAUGGGCACAGUGAAUCCAGCAAAUGGGCAGCACGGUGAUGAGAAGACCAGAGCCUCUGUCAGAUGGGGAGAGGCUGAGGGAGCUGGGAUGUUGGAAGGUCAGACAUUACAAAGUUUACAUCACUGAACUACAUAUUAUUUGAGUACAACCAUUAGCAUUGUUGUAACUGGACAAUCAAUAUCUGACUGGAUUGCUAGAACUUCAGGUAUGAAUUCUUUUUGCUGGUCCAAGAGUCUAAUAAAUAGGAGUCAAACAACCUAACUUGGACACAACUGAAUGGCAAGAUACAGACGACACCCUAAUUUUGUUGUCACCCUGAAAUCCUCCCACUACUUGAAACAGCCAUAGUAGUGCCCCAAAUGGUGGGUUCUGGUUCUCCAGUAGAACCACGGAAAGCAGAAGUAGAGGGAUUUCAGGAAAAUAAACUUUAUGCAAAUUUUAGACUAUUGAUCAUCCACAUCGCCUCAAAAACUGAACUUGGCUCAGUCAGCACCUACAAAGAGGGACAGAGCAGCUGUGCUGUCACAUAGAAUGCAUCAUAGCAUCUUUCAAGCAAGUGUCUAUUUUGGCAUUUGAAGAUCUGUAGUGUGCUCUGCAAGGUCCCAGGACUUCCCCACUUCAGAUGCUUUGAUGCAGGUCAGGAGAAAUUCUAACCACGGUUUGUGUGCUAACUCAGCGGCACAAAUGAAACCUGUUUCCACUAAAAGCAUGUUAGUCAGAAGGCUGGGCACACUUUUCACUUCAUUAGCCUGUAUGUGGUCAAAGGAACUUUUUUUAUGCUCCAUCCUGAGAAGUCUCCCAAGGCUGAAAGCAAAGCUAGGCUUUGCUUGAUAUCGGGGAAGGAAGAGGAGAGCUUAUUGUGCAGAGCGCAAAUCUAAACAAUCCCAGGCUGCUGUCCUGGCUUUCAAUACAUGGGGUUUUUUUGCUUUCUGCUCUCCUUUAGGUCAGGAGCAGUCCCUCCCAAUGCACCUGGGUAAUUGUGGGCUUGGUGCAGAGCUGGUCUGCACUGUGCCGGGGUGAGCAGUAUGAGGUUUAACCAAGGCCAAAUACCAAAGCCCAGGGCUGCUUUCCUUAAGCCUUCCACAAGUUUUCCACCAUCUUGCUGAAGGCUUGCCACCAACCCCUUUCUAAAUACAAGAUGCAUUGUCCUAAUUGUGUUUAUAUCCAAAACCCAAGCAUUUUACUCCCACUUUUGAAGAUCUCUAACAUCCAUUCACAUUGUAAUACACCAUGACUUUUAUUUAGCACUUACCCCCUCCAUCAUCUUCCAUGAGCAGUUUUCCUGAGGUCAGCUUGCUUGUGUUAUCUGUCUGGGAUCUGCUGUUCCCAACACAGCUGGCGUUACACAGUUGUGCUCUGGUCCCAUCUGAGUCUUCCAGAUGCAUAAUGCCCUGGUGGUGAGUUAUUCCCUAGGCAGCCAGCACUGUAUGCACAUGCACACCAUAAGGCUGGAUUUUGGGAAGCCCUCAGUGAACCAGCCACACCCACCACAACCAGCUUGAGCACAACACGCGACAUGACCAGAUUAACUCUGUGUGAACGCAGCUGUGGGCAGCACACAGCUGGGGUCACUGCCAGCACACUCCAUGGUGACAGCACCUCUGUUUGGGAAUGCCUCUGCAUCCAGCAGGUCACCAGAUGUGACACAGGGUGACUGGCACCCACACACCAUCCUGGUACAGCACCUGCCUGCAGGACAUCCACACAAGCUUACCUCGUGCUCACGCUUCGGUGCCAAAAGGCGUACAAUAUACUCCAAGUGAAAUAGGAUCUUUUAAUAUCACAUAUCCAAACAAAUAGUUCUCAUUUCAAAAUGCAAAAUAGGUCCUUUGAAGAUCAGCUGCUCCCAGGCUGUGUGAGCAGGGCGGGGCACAGCUGACUGGCACAACUGUUGAGGUCAGACCUCGUUUCUUUGGUAAGAUACAUGCCGGGAACAACGCGAAUGUAGAGUUGUACCAAAAGAGUCCAUUUAGAAGACUAAUUAUUACUCCACACCCCUUAUUAGAGAUUUGCAUUUUAAAACAGUCAUAUACAUUAAAUAGCUCUCCGACGUCUAGAUAGCAAACAUUUGAAGUAGCACAUACUCCGCUACCCCCACCAUUUUAAGAACAAGCAACACAUGUGGGAGAGAAGGGAAACAUUAAAAACAGGCUGUCUGUCUCACACAGUUUAUUUAACAAUAGGUAAUAAGAAAUCAAUUUUAACAGUCUAUACAGUGAUCGAAAGUUCUUAUUUAUAAGUAACCAACUUUAAUUGCAUGAUAUACAACAUUUGAGGGUUUUUUGCUUUCUAUUUUCAAGUUUUACAGAAAAUGGAAGAGGGUGGGAAGGGGGCAUGGGAGAGAGAAAGCAAGCAUAAAGAAGAAACCCCAGGGACUUUUUCUCAGGUUGAAAUAAUCCCGUUGGAAUUGUUUCUUACCCUCUUUUUUAUGUUUUUUUUUUUCCUUUGUUAGAUGUAAAAAUAACAAAAAAAAUUCUUUCAAGAAAACAGAAACCACAAUAUAUAUACUACA